GAUGAACGCUGGCGGCGUGCCUAAUACAUGCAAGUCGAGCGAACAGACGAGGAGCUUGCUCCUCUGACGUUAGCGGCGGACGGGUGAGUAACACGUGGAUAACCUCCCUAUAAGACUGGGAUAACUUCGGGAAACCGGAGCUAAUACCGGAUAAUAUAUUGAACCGCAUGGUUCAAUAGUGAAAGACGGUUUUGCUGUCACUUAUAGAUGGAUCCGCGCCGCAUUAGCUAGUUGGUAAGGUAACGGCUUACCAAGGCAACGAUGCGUAGCCGACCUGAGAGGGUGAUCGGCCACACUGGAACUGAGACACGGACCAGACUCCUACGGGAGGCAGCAGUAGGGAAUCUUCCGCAAUGGGCGAAAGCCUGACGGAGCAACGCCGCGUGAGUGACGAAGGUCUUCGGAUCGUAAAACUCUGUUAUUAGGGAAGAACAAAUGUGGAAGUAACUAUGCACGUCUUGACGGUACCUAAUCAGAAAGCCACGGCUAACUACGUG
rnacentral:rRNA from 1 species